UACGGAGGGUGCAAGCGUUGUUCGGAAUUAUUGGGCGUAAAGGGCGCGUAGGCGGUUGUGAUAGUCAGAUGUGAAAUACUUCGGCUCAACUGAAGAAUUGCAUCUGAAACUGCAUAACUAGAGUACAGGAGAGGGAAACGGAAUUCCCGGUGUAGAGGUGAAAUUCGUAGAUAUCGGGAGGAACACCAGUGGCGAAGGCGGUUUCCUGGCCUGAUACUGACGCUGAGGCGCGAAAGCGUGGGGAGCAAACAGG
rnacentral:rRNA from 1 species